rnacentral:rRNA from 1 species
GAUGAACGCUGGCGGUAUGCUUAACACAUGCAAGUCGAACGGACUCUUCGGAGUUAGUGGCGGACGGGUGAGUAACGCGUGAGAAUCUGGCUUUGGGUUCGGGACAACCACUGGAACCGGUGGCUAAUACCGGAUGUGCCGAGAGGUAAAAGAGAAAUUGCCUGAAGAUGAGCUCGCGUCUGAUUAGCUAGUUGGUGAGGUAAAGGCUCACCAAGGCAGCGAUCAGUAGCUGGUCUGAGAGGAUGACCAGCCACACUGGGACUGAGACACGGCCCAGACUCCUACGGGAGGCAGCAGUGGGGAAUUUUCCGCAAUGGGCGAAAGACUGACGGAGCAAUACCGCGUGAGGGAAGAAGGCUCUUGGGUUGUAAACCUCUUUUCUUAGGGAAGAACAAAAUGACGGUACCUAAGGAAUCAGCAUCGGCUAACUCCGUG